UCCGGUUUGUCACCGGCAGUCUGGCGCGAGUCCCCAACUUAAUGAUGGCAACACGCCACGGGGGUUGCGCUCGUUGCGGGACUUAACCCAACAUCUCACGACACGAGCUGACGACAGCCAUGCAGCACCGGUGCACCACCCUCGAAGGCUGCCACGUUUCCGUGGCAUGCAGGUGCAUGUCAAAUCUAGGUAAGGUUCUUCGUGUUGCGUCGAAUUAAACCACACGCUCCGCUGCUUGUGUGGGCCCCCGCCAAUUCCUUUGAGUUUUAGCCUUGCGGCCGUACUCCCCAGGCGGUGUGCUUAUCGUGUUAACUAAGGCGCGCACGCAAUUAAGCGCACACACCGAGCACACAGCGUUUACAGCGUGGACUAC
rnacentral:misc_RNA from 1 species